CCUACGGGUGACAGCAGUAGGGAAUUUUGCGCAAUGGGGGAAACUCUGACGCAGCAACACCGCGUGAAUGUUAAGCCCUUCGGGGUGUAAAGUUCUGUCAAUAGGGGCGAAUUUUGACUGUACCUAUAAAGGAAGCACCGGCUAACUCCGUGCCAGCAGCCGCGGUAAUACGGGGGGCGCAAGCGUUGUCCGGAAUCAUUGGGCGUAAAGCGUUCGGAGGCGGUAAGUCAAGUCUGAUGUGAAAGCCCGAGGCUCAACGCCGGUUCGGCAUUGGAAACUGGCAAACUAGAAUGUGGUAGAGGUGAAGGGAAUUCCUGGUGUAGCGGUGAAAGGCGUAGAUAUCAGGAGGAACAUCGGUGGCGAAAGCGCUUUACUGGACCAUUAUUGACGCUGAGGAACGAAAGCCAGGGGAGCAAAUGGGAUUAGAUACCCUAGUAGUC
rnacentral:rRNA from 1 species